rnacentral:SRP_RNA from 1 species
GCAUGGGCCUCGUGCGAUGUGGCACGUGAACCCUGUCAGGUCCGGAAGGAAGCAGCAGUAAGCG